AUACAUUUUAAAUUUCUGCCUUUUUGAGGUAAAUUGCAUGGAACUGAACCAGCAAUGCUAUGAGCAUUUUCAGCUUCAGGGCAAUUUAAUUCAAACAUACAUGAAUAUUACUUACUGUGCCAUAAGGGUAAUAUAAUUAGUAUAGACACUCUGAAAAGAUUUGAUUUACUGAAGAUGCGUGUCAAGAAAACGUUAUGCUUAAAUUGGGGUGCAUUUAAAAGGCAGCACACUGACAUCUGGCUUUGAAAGCAUUUGUUAAACUUAGCUGCUGUUCUCAAAGGAGGAUGCAAUUUUGUUCAAUCAGUGUAAGUAUACUAAUAGUAUUUUAAUAUGAAUGUGUUCUGCUUAUUUUUGACUUUCUCUGAAGGAAAGAACUGAGAUUUUAAAAAAAACCAAACCCUGCACAGUAAAAUGAACCAUAAGUCUAAACAGACUUUUAGCUCCAAUAGUUUCUCAGAUUUUUUAGCUGAGGAAGCAACAAUACAAGUGUGUAAGGAUUUUUUUGUUGUUUUUUAAAAGACAGCUCACAGAAGACAUAUGCCAACUGAAUCUCUUGCAUAUCUGCAUACUUCAUCAGUCACCCAGACUGCCUGAAUUCCUGCAGUAAUAAAGCUUGUUUCAAAUUUACAGAUGACUUUGGUAUGUUUUACUAACUGGAUAUACUGUGUAUUCCCCAAUUUGUUCUUUAUAAAGAAAUCAAAGGAAUAAAUUAAUUGAGGGGAAAAAAGGGGCUGUUCUGGCUUUUGUUUCCCCUACCCUCUUCCCAAAGCUAAAUAAGGAAAUAAAAUCUAAUCCCAAACUGUAAACCAUGCCUUUUCCACUUUCUGUCAUUUUCUCUAGAGGAGCAUAUUUCUACUUCUGGCUGAAAUAAGUAUCUACCUAGAAAAUCAAUAAAGGAAGUUCCCUUACAUUGGGUCCUGCCUAUUUAGAAGUUAUUCAGUUGCUACUGCUGUGUUCUUGAUGAGUCCACUAUCUGGAAGUUGGCUGUUAUAAAAAGUAAUUGAUGGAGGUUUGAUGGAUUGUCUUUUUGAGGGCAUGAAUUUUUUUUUUAAUCCAUAGCUGCAGAAUAAUACACAAGCUGGAUAAAUUCUCUUGAAUUUUUAUAUGCUGCUGCAGACAUGAAAAUAAUACUGCUAGCAUUUUGUUUGCUGUUUUGCUAAUGAUGUUUGGAUGUCCAAAACUUUGUCUUCUGGAAGGGUGAUGGUAGGUUUUUGUUUUGCUUUCAAAAUUUAAAACAAAAAUGUAAAGCUUCUAGUCAGAAAUAAACAUCUAUAAUCUGGAUUAAGAUAAUGAUCAAAAAUCUUUAGUUUUAACAUGUCUAUUUAGAGAUAUAUUUUAUGUGAUACCUAAUCAAGUAUCAUGUAUAUAGUGGAGGAAACAGUGUAGUGAAAUUAUAAACAAAAAAUAUGAGCAGCUCGGAUAUGAAGAAUUCUAUGAAAUAAGGCCAGGGUAAAUGAGCAUAGUCCUCCUUGUCUUAGUUUCUAGUCUGAGAGGAGGAUAUUAACUGCUGAUAAAAUCAGAGUAGGAAACCAAUGCUUCCAUUAAAAAGUUAUAAUUUUAGAUAUUGAAACAGACCUUACUUUUCUCUCUCUUUUUUCCAGCAUCAAGAAAAUGAUCCAUAUCUCAUUUGCUUGAGAACCAUUAGUCACCAUUCUAGAGAUAUGGCUAAUUACUUUUAAUUAAAAAUAAUAUUUUGAUACAGCUCUGCUAUCUCUGCUGGAAUUGUUUUAAACUUAUUAUGUUCUUACCACCAAUUUUCUGCAAUACGGCUUAGGAGGAAUUUGUUCGAUAGCAACAUGUCUGAAGAGUAUCAAGGAUGAAAUUCUCAAGGGUCUUUAUGUCAUGGAUGGAAAUGGAAUCAUUACUGUAUUUUUGAACUCCUGCUAACGUCAUUGACACCCACCUACAGUCCACUAGAAAUAUAAGAGCAGAGAUCAGUUUGUUCACAGAUUACGGGCAGACUAACCAAGAAGGGGGCAAGCCAGAGCCAAAUUCACUGACUGCUCAUUUCCAACAUGUGGAAAGUGGUGCUCCUGGGUCUAUACAUAGUGUUGGCUCUGAGAGGAUUGGCAAAGGGUGCUCCUUUCCAGCCAGAAGAAAAAUGGAAACCUCUAGAUAACCCGAGAAACAGAGACCUGUUUUUCAGAACGCUCCAGGCUUAUUUUUCGGGCAGGGGGCUUGAUCUCAGGAAGUUCCCAGCUACUGUCACUGUGAACAGUGAAGGACCAAGGCCUCUCAUGUUCUACGCAGAUCCAAUUGCUUCUGCAUUUGCAGAUUACGAAGAAAGGAAAAAUUCUUUUCCAAAUCAUUUCAAAGGCUGAAAGAUGCUGUUGACCAAGGUAAAAGAGGAGGCCUCGUCCUCUGAUGUUGUUUCAGGCUGUAGAACUUCACACGAAGUGAUAACCUUCACAGCAAAAUUUUACCGCUUUGACUUUUUAAUUGUUACCUGACAGUUCUUCACUGUCACAGUUCCUACCUAUGGAAUGUGAUGUCAUGCUGUAAUUAGCAUAUAUUCGGUCUCUUGACAAAUGUUUGGCUGUUUGGCUGCUGCUCAGCUGUGGGCUGAGUCGGCUGAGCAGAAUUGUGUUUGAGUGUGAAUAAACGAGGAGUGCAACAGAGUGCUUGCGAUUACUGCUAAGUGUCUUUGUGCAAAACUGAGAAAUAAAUGUUAGCUUUCAAUUUAUUAG